UUACUUACAUGGCAGGGGAGACACCAUGAUCACAAAGGUGGUUUUCCCUGGUCAAGGCCUAUUCAUUGCACUCUGGAUAUGCUGACCCCUGAGAUUUCCCCAAAUGUGGGAAACUUCACUGCAUAAUUUGAGGUAGUGGGGGACUGUGUCCUCUCUCUCUCACC
rnacentral:snRNA from 1 species